rnacentral:rRNA from 1 species
GACGAACGCUGGCGGCGUGCCUAAUACAUGCAAGUUGAGCGCUGAAGGUUGGUACUUGUACCAACUGGAUGAGCAGCGAACGGGUGAGUAACGCGUGGGGAAUCUGCCUUUUAGCGGGGGACAACAUUUUGAAACGAAUGCUAAUACCGCAUAAAAACUUUAAACACAAGGUUUAAGUUUGAAAGAUGCAAUUGCAUCACUCAAAGAUGAUCCCGCGUUGUAUUAGCUAGUUGGUGAGGUAAAGGCUCACCAAGGCGAUGAUACAUAGCCGACCUGAGAGGGUGAUAGGCCACAUUGGGAAUGAGACACGGCCCAAACUCCUACGGGAGGCAGCAGUAGGGAAUCUUCGGCAAUGGACGAAAGUCUGACCGAGCAACGCCGCGUGAGUGAAGAAGGUCUUCGGAUCGUAAAACUCUGUUGGUAGAGAAGAACGUUGGUGAGAGUGGAAAGCUCAUCAAGUGACGGUAACUACCCAGAAAGGGACGGCUAACUACGUG